rnacentral:rRNA from 1 species
UAGUUGGUGAGGUAACGGCCCACCAAGUCGACGAUGGGUAGCCGACCUCAGAGGGUGAUCGGCCACAUUGGAACUGAGAAACGGUCCAGACUCCUACGGGAGGCAGCAGUGGGGAAUAUUGGGCAAUGGAGGCAACUCUGACCCAGCAACGCCGCGUGAAUGAUGAAGGUCUUCGGAUUGUAAAGUUCUGUGACGGGGGACGAACACAAUGACGGUACCCCGAUAGCAAGCCACGGCUAACUAC